rnacentral:rRNA from 1 species
UACAGAGGUCCCAAGCGUUGUUCGGAUUCACUGGGCGUAAAGGGUGCGUAGGCGGCCGGGUAAGUCUGAUGUGAAAUCUCACAGCUUAACUGUGAAACUGCAUUGGAUACUAUCCGGCUCGAGGAAUGGAGGGGAGACUGGAAUACUUGGUGUAGCAGUGAGAUGCGUAGAUAUCAAGUGGAACACCAGUGGCGAAGGCGAGUCUCUGGACAUUUCCUGACGCUGAGGCACGAAAGCCAGGGGAGCAAACGGG